UCCGAGUUGACCCCGGCAGUCUCCUAUGAGUCCCCACCACCCCGAAGGGCAUGCUGGCAACAUAGGACGAGGGUUGCGCUCGUUGCGGGACUUAACCCAACAUCUCACGACACGAGCUGACGACAGCCAUGCACCACCUGUAUACCGACCACAAGGGGGGCCGUAUCUCUACGGCUUUCCGGUAUAUGUCAAACCCAGGUAAGGUGGGGAUGACGUCGUAUCUCACUG
rnacentral:misc_RNA from 1 species